rnacentral:piRNA from 1 species
UGGAGGCCAUUAUCCUUAGCAAACUAAGACA